UGGGGAAUAUUGCGCAAUGGGCGAAAGCCUGACGCAGCAACGCCGCGUGAGUGAUGAAGCCCUUCGGGGUGUAAAGCUCUUUCGGCAGGGAAGAUAAUGACGGUACCUGCAGAAUCAGCUGCGGCUAACUACGUGCCAGCAGCCGCGGUAAUACGUAGGCAGCGAGCGUUGUUCGGAGUUACUGGGCGUAAAGGGUGUGUAGGCGGUGCUCUAAGUGUGGUGUGAAAUCUCCCGGCUCAACUGGGAGGGUGCGCUACGAACUGGAGUGCUCGAGUGCGGGAUGGGAGAGUGGAAUUCCUGGUGUAGCGGUGAAAUGCGUAGAUAUCAGGAGGAACACCGGUGGUGUAGACGGCUCUCUGGACCGCAACUGACGCUGAGACACGAAAGCGUGGGUAGCAAACAGGAUUAGAUACCCCAGUAGUCCCUGAGCGGGCUGGCAAGGCGCAU
rnacentral:rRNA from 1 species